GACUCGGUGGCGGAUGGUCCGCGUCUGCCAGUAUUAUUUGAAAAUGCAACCUUUACGAUGCGGAAGGUGUCGGUUCGAUUCCGGCUCGAGUCA